rnacentral:rRNA from 1 species
GAUGAACGCUGGCGGCGUGCCUAAUACAUGCAAGUCGAGCGAACGGACGAGAAGCUUGCUUCUCUGAUGUUAGCGGCGGACGGGUGAGUAACACGUGGAUAACCUACCUAUAAGACUGGGAUAACUUCGGGAAACCGGAGCUAAUACCGGAUAAUAUUUUGAACCGCAUGGUUCAAAAGUGAAAGACGGUCUUGCUGUCACUUAUAGCUGGAUCCGCGCUGCAUUAGCUAGUUGGUAAGGUAACGGCUUACCAAGGCAACGAUGCAUAGCCGACCUGAGAGGGUGAUCGGCCACACUGGAACUGAGACACGGUCCAGACUCCGACGGGAGGCAGCAGUAGGGAAUCUUCCGCAAUGGGCGAAAGCCUGACGGAGCAACGCCGCGUGAGUGAUGAGGGUCUUCGGAUCGUAAAACUCUGUUAUUAGGGAAGAACAUAUGUGUAAGUAACUGUGCACAUCUUGACGGUACCUAAUCAGAAAGCCACGGCUAACUACGUG